GACAAUGUGGUAUAGUGGUUUUAUUGCUGGACUAAAACUCUGGAGACCAGGGUUCAAAUCCUGGCUUGGUAA